rnacentral:rRNA from 1 species
GUUUGAUCCUGGCUCAGGGUGAACGCUGGCGGCGUGGAUAAGGCAUGCAAGUCACGGGGUCCCGUCUUUUGACGGGAAACCGGCGAACGAGGUAGUAAUACUCAGGUACGCACCGAAGAGUCGGGCAUAGUCCGCCGAAAGGCGGGGUAAUUCCCGAUGGUGUCCCGCUUUUAGCGGGACUAAAGGGGCAACUCGCUCUUUGAGCGGCCUGCGGGGCAUCAGCUAGUUGGUAGGGUAACGGCCUACCAAGGCUAUGACGCCUAGGGGAGCUGAGAGGCUGACCCCCACCGAUGGAACUGACACACGGUCCAUACACCUACGGGUGGCUGCAGUCGAGAAUCUUCCGCAAUGGGCGAAAGCCUGACGGAGCGACGCCGCGUGCUGGAUGGAGUCCUUCGGGACGUAAACAGCUUUUAUGCGUGAGGAAGUUUAUUGACGUUAGCGCAUGAAUAAGGGGCUCCUAACUCUGUGCCAGCAGGAGCGGUAAUACAGAGGCCCCAAGCGUUACCCGGAAUCACUGGGCGUAAAGGGUGUGUAGGCGGUUCUGUUAGUCCUUCGUGAAAGGCUCUUGGCCCAACCAAGAGAACGCCAAGGAAACGGCAGAACUACGAGGACGCGAGAGGUUGAGGGAACUCAUGGUGUAGGGGUGAAAUCCGUUGAUAUCAUGGGGAACACCAAAUGCGAAAGCACUCAACUGGCGCACUCCUGACGCUGAGACACGAAAGCGUGGGUAGCGAACGGGAUUAGAUACCCCGGUAGUCCACGCCCUAAACGAUCGACACUGGCUUUGGGGAGUAUCGACCCUCUCCGAGGCGAAGCUACGCGUUAAGUGUGGCGCCUGGGUAGUACGGGCG